AGCCCACCAGCUAGCCCCCCAAACCAAAAACAACACACCAAUAUAAAUAACCCCAAAUUCACUAAUACUUAUAUUACACAAACCAUUUUACCCCCUUAGUAUGGGCGACAGAAAAGGGACCGUGGCGCAAUAGAGAAAGUACCGCAAGGGAACGCUGAAAGAGAAGUGAAACACCCCAGUAAAGCUUAUAAAGCAGAGAUUUAACUCGUACCUUUUGCAUCAUGAUUUAGCAAGUAAUACCCAAGCAAAGAGUUCUUUAGUUUGGCUCCCCGAAACUAGGUGAGCUACUCCAAGACAGCCUAUUAAUAGGGCAAACCCGUCCCUGUGGCAAAAGGGUGGGAAGAGCUUUGAGUAGAGGUGACAGACCUACCGAACCUAGUUAUAGCUGGUUGCCUGAGAAUUGGAUAGAAGUUCAGCCCCUUCGUUUCUUACCUCACCUUCGUCCAACCCCACCCGACGCCCAAAGAAACUAAGAGAGUUAGUCAAAGGGGGUACAGCCCCUUUGAAACAAGAUACAACUUUACCAGGAGGGUAAAGAUCAUAAUAAGUUAAGGUAAAAUGUUCUGGUGGGCCUAAAAGCAGCCACCCCUAUAGAAAGCGUUAAAGCUCAGACAUACCCCCUACCCUAUUAUCCCGAUAAUUAAAUCUUAACCCCCUAAUCCUACCAGGCCGUCCCAUGCAAACAUGGGAGCGACCAUGCUAAUAUGAGUAAUAAGAGAGCUUCCGCCUCUCUCCUUGCACACGUGUAAAUCGGAAUGGACCUACCACCGAACUUUAACGGCCCCAAACAAAGAGGGAAUUGAACGACAGACCAAACAACCAGAAAACCAUCCAACAGAUAACCGUUACCCCCACACUGGUGUGCCCUUAAGGAAAGACUAAAAGAAAAAGAAGGAACUCGGCAAACAUAUAAAGCCUCGCCUGUUUACCAAAAACAUCGCCUCUUGCAAAACUAAUGAAUAAGAGGUCCCGCCUGCCCUGUGACUAUAUGUUUAACGGCCGCGGUAUCUUGACCGUGCGAAGGUAGCGCAAUCACUUGUCUUUUAAAUGGAGACCCGUAUGAAUGGCAUAACGAGGGCUUAGCUGUCUCCUUUUUCAAGUCAAUGAAAUUGAUCUUCCCGUGCAGAAGCGGGAAUAAGACCAUAAGACGAGAAGACCCUAUGGAGCUUUAGACACCAAAGCAGCUCAAUGUUAAACACCCCUAAAUAAAGGGCCAAACAAAAUGAAACCUGCCCUAAUGUCUUUGGUUGGGGCGACCGCGGGGAAACAAAAAACCCCCAUGUGGAAUGGGAACACCCUCUCCUAAAACAAAGAGCUCCCGCUCUAAUGAACAGAACUUUCUGACCAAUCAGAUCCGGCAACGCCGAUCAACGGACCGAGUUACCCUAGGGAUAACAGCGCAAUCCCCUUUUAGAGCCCAUAUNGACAAGGGGGUUUACGACCUCGAUGUUGGAUCAGNNNNNNCUNAUGGUGCAGCCGCUAUUAAGGGUUCGUUUGUCAACGANUAAA
rnacentral:rRNA from 1 species